rnacentral:miRNA from 1 species
UGCGCACUUUAUAAUCUAUUGGGUUGGCCAAAAAGUUCAUUUGGGUUUUUCUGCAAGCUCUUAUGGAACUAUUUGACCAACCCAAUACCAU